GACGUAGGGCGCGAGCGUUGUCCGGAUUUAUUGGGCGUAAAGAGCUCGUAGGCGGCUUGUCGUGUCGACCGUGAAACCUCACAGCUCAACUGUGAGCCUGCGGUCGAUACGGGCAGGCUAGAGUUCGGUAGGGGAGACUGGAAUUCCUGGUGUAGCGGUGAAAUGCGCAGAUAUCAGGAGGAACACCGGUGGCGAAGGCGGGUCUCUGGGCCGAUACUGACGCUGAGGAGCGAAAGCGUGGGGAGCGAACAGG
rnacentral:rRNA from 1 species